GAUGAACGCUGGCGGCGUGCUUAACACAUGCAAGUCGAACGGAAAGGCCCAAGCUUGCUUGGGUACUCGAGUGGCGAACGGGUGAGUAACACGUGGGUGAUCUGCCCUGCACUUCGGGAUAAGCCUGGGAAACUGGGUCUAAUACCGGAUAGGACCACUUCUUGGAUGUUGUGGUGGAAAGUUUUUUCGGUGUGGGAUGAGCUCGCGGCCUAUCAGCUUGCUGGUGGGGUAAUGGCCUACCAAGGCGUCGACGGGUAGCCGGCCUGAGAGGGUGUACGGCCACAUUGGGACUGAGAUACGGCCCAGACUCCUACGGGAGGCAGCAGUGGGGAAUAUUGCACAAUGGGCGCAAGCCUGAUGCAGCGACGCCGCGUGGGGGAUGACGGCCUUCGGGUUGGAAACUCCUUUCGCUAGGGACGAAGCGUUUUGUGACGGUACCUGGAGAAGAAGCACCGGCUAACUACGUG
rnacentral:rRNA from 1 species